rnacentral:rRNA from 1 species
UACGUAGGGUGCAAGCGUUGUCCGGAAUUAUUGGGCGUAAAGAGCUCGUAGGCGGUUUGUCGCGUCGACUGUGAAAACCUACAGCUUAACUGUGGGCUUGCAGUCGAUACGGGAAGACUUGAGUUCGGUAGGGGAGACUGGAAUUCCUGGUGUAGCGGUGAAAUGCGCAGAUAUCAGGAAGAACACCAGUGGCGAAGGCGGCUCACUGGGACGGUACUGACGCUGAGGCGCGAAAGCGUGGGGAGCGAACAGG